rnacentral:rRNA from 1 species
GACGGAGGGGGCUAGCGUUGUUCGGAAUUACUGGGCGUAAAGCGCGCGUAGGCGGCCUUUCAAGUCAGGUGUGAAAGCCCCGAGCUUAACUCGGGAACUGCACUUGAUACUGUUGGGCUUGAGACCGGGAGAGGAUAGCGGAAUUCCCAGUGUAGAGGUGAAAUUCGUAGAUAUUGGGAAGAACACCAGUGGCGAAGGCGGCUAUCUGGACCGGUACUGACGCUGAGGUGCGAAAGCGUGGGGAGCAAACAGG